CCUACGGGCGGCAGCAGUGAGGAAUAUUGGUCAAUGGACGCAAGUCUGAACCAGCCAUGCCGCGUGCAGGAAGACGGCUCUAUGAGUUGUAAACUGCUUUUGUACGAGGGUAAACGCAGAUACGCGUAUCUGUCUGAAAGUAUCGUACGAAUAAGGAUCGGCUACCUCCGUGCCAGCAGCCGCGGUAAUACGGAGGAUUCAAGCGUUAUCCGGAUUUAUUGGGUUUAAAGGGUGCGUAGGCGGUCGGAUAAGUUAGAGGUGAAAUCCCGAGGCUCAACUUCGGAAUUGCCUCUGAUACUGUUCGGCUAGAGAGUAGUUGCGGUAGGCGGAAUGUAUGGUGUAGCGGUGAAAUACUUAGAGAUCAUACAGAACACCGAUUGCGAAGGCAGCUUACCAAGCUACUUCUGACGUUGAGGCACGAAAGCGUGGGGAGCGAACAGGAUUAGAUACCCGUGUAGUC
rnacentral:rRNA from 1 species